AGAGUUUGAUCAUGGCUCAGGACGAACGCUGGCGGCGUGCUUAAAACAUGCAAGUCGAACGGGGUCCAUGGAGUGGCAACACUCCGGAAGACCUAGUGGCGAACGGGUGCGUAACACGUGAGGAACCUGCCCCGGAGACCGGGAUAACCCUCCGAAAGGAGAGCUAAUACCGGAUGUGCUCAUCGGAUCGCCUGGUCUGAUGAGGAAAUGGAUUCCGCUCCGGGAUGGCCUCGCGGCCUAUCAGCUUGUUGGUGGGGUAACGGCCUACCAAGGCGACGACGGGUAGCUGGUCUGAGAGGACGAUCAGCCACACUGGGACUGAGACACGGCCCAGACUCCUACGGGAGGCAGCAGUUAGGAAUCUUGCGCAAUGGGCGAAAGCCUGACGCAGCAACGCCGCGUGGGGGAUGAAGGCUCUCGGGUUGUAAACCCCUUUCAGCAGGGACGAUUGUGACGGUACCUGCAGAAGAAGGACCGGCCAACUACGUGCCAGCAGCCGCGGUAAUACGUAGGGUCCGAGCGUUGUCCGGGUUCAUUGGGCGUAAAGAGCUCGUAGGCGGCUCAGUAAGUCGGAUGUGAAAACUCAGGGCUCAACCCGGAGACGCCAUCCGAUACUGCUGUGGCUUGAGUCUGGUAGGGGAACACGGAAUACCUGGUGUAGCGGUGAAAUGCGCAGAUAUCAGUGGAACACCGAUGGCGAAAGCAGUGUUCUGGGCCAGUGCUGACGCUGAGGAGCGAAAGCGUGGGGAGCAAACAGGAUUAGAUACCCUGGUAGUCCACGCCGUAAACGUUGGGCACUAGUGUGGGUCCUCAUCAACGGGAUCCGUGCCGUAGCUACGCAUUAGUGCCCCGCCUGGGGAGUACGCCGCAGGCUAAACUCAAGGAAUUGACGGGGCCCGCACAGCGGCGGAGCAUGUUGCUUA
rnacentral:rRNA from 1 species